rnacentral:rRNA from 1 species
CUUGGUCAUUUAGAGGAAGUAAAAGUCGUAACAAGGUUUCCGUAGGUGAACCUGCGGAAGGAUCAUUAAAAAAAGAGAAACGUCCCGUUCUUUUUCAUAAGAAUGGGUUCUAUUCCCUUAAACCGUGUCUACAUACCUUUGUUGCUUUGGCAGGCCGCCUUCGGGCGUCGGCUCCGGCUGAUAGUGCCUGCCAGAGGACCCAAACUCUAUGUUUAGUGAUGUCUGAGUACUAUAUAAUAUUUAAAACUUUCAACAACGGAUCUCUUGGUUCUGGCAUCGAUGAAGAACGCAGCGAAAUGCGAUAAGUAAUGUGAAUUGCAGAAUUCAGUGAAUCAUCGAAUCUUUGAACGCACAUUGCGCCCCUUGGUAUUCCGAGGGGCAUGCCUGUUCGAGCGUCAUUAUAACCACUCAAGCCUGGCUUGGUAUUGGGGUUUUCGCGUGUUCGCGGCCCUUAAAAUCAGUGGCGGUGCCGUCUGGCUCUAAGCGUAGUAAUUUCUCUCGCUAUAGGGUUCCGGUGGUUACUUGCCAAAACCCCCCAUUUUUUCUAGGUUGACCUCGGAUCAGGUAGGGAUACCCGCUGAACUUAAGCAUAUCAAUAAGCGGAGGA